rnacentral:misc_RNA from 1 species
AGCACAAAUGCUGCUAGCAGAUGUAUCAUGAUUGUUCCGCCCUUCCUGGUUCAUGAUUUCCUGCCCAUGAUCUGAUACCUUUAGUGAGAGUUUCUUGUUACCUUCAUGAGUAUUACAAUUCAUUGNNUUGAACUGGGAGGAAGUUGCACUUCUUGUUGCUUGCUCCUCUGACGCUUUGAUCCAUCACUUUUCUCAGAAUCAUGGUGCAUAUAACGACAGGAUGCUCCACGGUAGCACCUGCCUCGACGAAAGUUAAAACAGACUGCCAACUGACCCUUUUCCCUUCUCCUAUUUCCACUGCUAAAUUCACCAGCAUGCCUAGAAGAGGGAGACCUGCUCCCACUUCUUUGAUUCCUGGGAGACCAGCUGCGAGAUCUACUUCUCUUUUCUCUUCUUC